rnacentral:rRNA from 1 species
GACGAACGCUGGCGGCGUGCCUAAUACAUGCAAGUAGAACGCACAGUUUAUACCGUAGCUUGCUCCACCAUAAACUGUGAGUUGCGAACGGGUGAGUAACGCGUAGGUAACCUGCCUGGUAGCGGGGGAUAACUAUUGGAAACGAUAGCUAAUACCGCAUAAUAUUGAUUAUUGCAUGAUAAUUGAUUGAAAGAUGCUAUUGCAUCACUACCAGAUGGACCUGCGUUGUAUUAGCUAGUAGGUGAGGUAACGGCUCACCUAGGCGACGAUACAUAGCCGACCUGGGAGGGUGAUCGGCCACGCUGGGACUGGGACACGGCCCAGACUCCUACGGGAGGCAGCAGUAGGGAAUCUUCGGCAAUGGACGAAAGUCUGACCGAGCAACGCCGCGUGAGUGAAGAAGGUUUUCGGAUCGUAAAGCUCUGUUGUAAGAGAAGAACGGGUGUGAGAGUGGAAAGUUCACACUGUGACGGUAUCUUACCAGAAAGGGACGGCUAACUACGUG